AUCAGUAAACGGGAAUGCAAUGAUCUAUCAUCAAAGUCCAAACGUUUCCACACAGUAGAUGAGGAAGUCUUCUAUUCAGAUAAGGAGAAUUUGACACCUAUAUCUACAGGAGGUAUGAAAGCGAGAAGUUGUCUUCCGAAGAACCUGUUCCCAGUGGAUGCAGACCAAGAUCAGGAGGCAUUCUGCUCCGACAAGGAGAACUCUACACCUAUAUCUACAGGAGGUAUGAAAGCGAGAAGUUGUCUUCCGAAGAACCUGUUCCCAGUGGAUGCAGACCAAGAUCAGGAGGCAUUCUGCUCCGACAAGGAGAACUCUACACCAGUAUCUUGUGUAGCUCACAAAACAAGG
rnacentral:lncRNA from 1 species